AACGAACGCUGGCGGCAGGCUUAACACAUGCAAGUCGAGCGCCCCGCAAGGGGAGCGGCAGACGGGUGAGUAACGCGUGGGAAUCUACCCAUCUCUACGGAAUAACGCAUGGAAACGUGUGCUAAUACCGUAUACGUCCUUCGGGAGAAAGAUUUAUCGGAGCUGGAUGAGCCCGCGUUGGAUUAGCUAGUUGGUGGGGUAAAGGCCUACCAAGGCGACGAUCAAUAGCUGGUCUGAGAGGAUGAUCAGCCACACUGGGACUGAGACACGGCCCAGACUCCUACGGGAGGCAGCAGUGGGGAAUAUUGGACAAUGGGCGCAAGCCUGAUCCAGCCAUGCCGCGUGAGUGAUGAAGGCCCUAGGGUUGUAAAGCUCUUUCACCGGUGAAGAUAAUGACGGUAACCGGAGAAGAAGCCCCGGCUAACUUCGUGCCAGCAGCCGCCGUAAAAC
rnacentral:rRNA from 1 species